rnacentral:tRNA from 1 species
GCUAGUUUGGCCUAGUGGUUAAGGCACCAGAGUAGAAAGCAGGAGACCAUGAGUUCAAGUCCUGUUUUUAGCC